GGCAGCUGUUGCAACCAAUGAUACAGAAGCAGAUGCCCGUUCCCUGAUUCCCAUGAGGACAGCAACACAACCGAGGAGACUGUAUGAAAAUCCUCGGGGUGAUCAGUCCUGCACCACAACCCAGGACUGACCUGGAGGAGCUAUUUGCAGAGGAGGAGCGAGUGAUAGACCAUCCAUCUGAAUAACUCCUCUAAUAUGUACAAAGUAAAUAAGGUGCAAAGUCAAACUGGAGAAGUAAUUCCGGAAAGGAUUUUGUUAGAGGACCAAUCAAAGCGCUUGCUGUCUCUGUUGCAUCGACGGAUAAUUCAAAACUAUUGGACGUGCAGGUAAGCUAACGAGAAGGUCUCCGUCAGGCUCUCUGUCAAGGUAAUAACUAGUAAUAACAUGCUUUGUAAUUAUGGUUAUUAAGUACAUAACACUCGACUAUUCCAUUUUAAUGAUGUUGAAAACUAGUUUGACGAGCUAUUUCCCCUAACUCAAUGUAGUGUGUGGCUUGAACAUAAAUUAUUAUUAGAAUAAAUCCCAAGAAGAUUGAUACAAACAGUUAUAAUUGUAUUUGUUUGGCGAAAGUUUGUUUUAAGUGUGUACUCUGUAAUGUGUAUUUCUCACACACACACACACACACACACACACACACACACACACACACACACACACACACACACACACACACACACACACACACACACACACACACACACACACACACACACACAGUUCCCGGCAAGUUAUGUAAUUAUUGGUUCUGGUGAAAAGAAAAAUACUCUCUGGAUCGAAAGGUGAAAGGCAGUGUAAUGUUUGUCAUUGAGCAAUGGAAACCGUGAUAGAAAGUCUAGAAGAGCAUUGACAUGUCAUUUGAUACAUUUUCUAUAAAAGUUUAACCGUAGCCAAGAUGAUCAACUUCAGUCGCGAGGGUUCUGGUUUGUUGAGUGUUUUUCUUUUUCUUUUUGACAUUUUGCAUCACAGUUACGUCAGUCGACGUUGUUCGACUUAAUUAGACCGAAGUCAGAAGAAGAAGGAGAAGAAAUUCACAUAGAGUCUGGACCCACUCAAUUGACUAACGUUAACUCAUUUGAAGACGGGUGUCUGUUUGGAUGUUCUAACUAUUGGAUCUGCCCAGUGCCACUCUGGAUCUGCCACAACCAAUAGCUAAUAUAUAUAA
ensembl:lncRNA